GGGUUUUUGACAUUUUUGUGCGUUCAUUUCGUAACGAAAAAUUCACGCAAAAGGAAAUUAUGGAUAAUUUAUUUACAAUGUUAGCAACGUCUUCGGACCCCAUCGCUUCUGCAAUGCAUUUUGUGAUCAUUAUGUUGGCAAAUUUUUCAGAAAUACAAG